rnacentral:rRNA from 1 species
UACGUAGGCAGCGAGCGUUGUUCGGAGUUACUGGGCGUAAAGGGUGCGUAGGCGGUUGUUUAAGUUUGGUGUGAAAUCUCCCGGCUCAACUGGGAGGGUGCGCCGAAUACUGAAUGACUAGAGUGCGGGAGAGGAGAGUGGAAUUCCUGGUGUAGCGGUGAAAUGCGUAGAUAUCAUUUGGAACGCCAAUGGUGAAAACAGGCAGCUGGGAGUGUGCUGACGCUGAGACACGAAAGCCAGGGGAGCGAACGGG